AGGUGGGAGGAUUGCUUGAGCCUGGGAGGUGGAGGUUGCAGUGAGCCCAGAUCAUGCCACUGCACUCCAGCCUGGGCAACAGAGU
ensembl:miRNA